GACGAACGCUGGCGGCGUGCUUAACACAUGCAAGUCGAACGACGAAGAAGAGAAACGCGAACUUCGGUUCAAAUUUCACUUCGGAUUAGUGGCAGACGGGUGAGUAACGCGUGAGCAACCUACCUCUUACAAAGGGAUAGCCUCGGGAAACCGUGAUUAAUACCAUAUGACACAUUCAUAAGGCAUCUUAAGAAUGUUAAAGCUACGGCGGUAAGAGGUGGGCUCGCGUCCCAUUAGCUAGUUGGUGAGGUAACGGCCCACCAAGGCGACGAUGGGUAACCGGCCUGAGAGGGUGAACGGUCACAUUGGAACUGAGACACGGUCCAAACUCCUACGGGAGGCAGCAGUGGGGAAUAUUGCACAAUGGAGGGAACUCUGAUGCAGCGACGCCGCGUGAGCGAUGAAGGAAUUCGUUUCGUAAAGCUCUGUUCUAUGGGAAGAAAAGGACUGUACCAUAGGAGAAAGCCCCGGCUAAAUACGUG
rnacentral:rRNA from 1 species